UGGUAGCAAGUGGCAGGAGUCAGGCUUUAAUUCCCCUGCUGCAUAUCCCCUCUACCACUUCUAUCCCUGCCUGCUUGCCCUGCUGUAGCAGUGUGGGAACAAAUUUUAAGAUGACCCUCCAAAAAUCCAAUUCUAGGCUUGGAAAAUUAUUUUAAAAAUGUAUAAUUUUCCCCAUGUCCAGAAUCUAAUUGAGGCAGGGAGUUGUCCUAAAUUCAGAGUCAUCUUGGAUUCAGGUAAAUAUGGUACGUAGCUUACUCUUUGAUUAAACUAAAUAUAUUGAGCUCCUCAAGGUCUUCACUAUAAAUAAUAAAUUUGUAUCCAUCAGUCAUCCUUGUGACUCAUCUCUGAACCAUUUCCAGUUUUUCAGGAUCCUUAUUUGUGUUUUAUACACCAGAUUUCCAAUGGAUUCCUAGAGUGGUCACAGUAGUGCUGACACCUUCAUCUUCUUCCUUAGGGAGGAAUGCUAAUAUGAUCCUCUAAUUACAGAAAGGCUAAUAUGAUCUCUGAAAGGCUAAUAUGAUCUCUGAGUGUCAGUAUCUCCUUAAGGAGGUAUUGAUACUCAGGGAUCAUAUUAGCCUUUCUGUAAUUACUCAUGUAAGAUGGUGAGGUCAAAAAGUGAUAUGUGCUCCUAUAGAACUUAUAGAAAGAGGUAAUAGUAGGAAACUGCCAUCUUGACUGAAAGCAGAGGGUCAAAAUUGGAGGUUGCUAUAGAUUCUUUUGUUCUCUCUGGAUCACAGAGAGAGAGAGAGCGAGAGGUAAUACAUAUUUAACAAUGAAUUCCAUUCUACUACAGACACAAUAAGCUCUUUUGGGAGCCCAAGGUCUCUGAAUUUAACUGAGCCUCCAUAUGUGAGUUGCCUUCAUCUCUAUAGCUCAUGGUAGGCAUUGAAUGUGGGAUCAUUAGAAUUAAAAACCUGAAGCUAUCCAUCCUGAACUGUUAUAUCCUCAGGUGAUCUGGCACAGGCACUUGCCACAUGACUGAAAGUCCAAGAUACUGCAGUGAGUGUAUACAAAAUGUGAGUUCAAGUUCUGCCUUGCCACAGACUUCUGUAACUUAGGGCAUAUCUCCUCUAUGCUUCUUUCCUAUUUGGACUGGUACAGAAUGACUUCUCUCUCUCUCUCCUUUUUUAUCUGUCUGUUAAGCUUAGAUGUAUUUAGGACUAUUUUGACCAGCAUUCUUGGGACUAUUGUGAAUUACUAUAGCUUGUGUUGAAGGGUCAAGGCUCCCUUAUGAGGGCUAUACCAGAGUCUCACCCUCAGUGGACAGGGUAGAGAGAGGGACCUGUAAUGCAUGCUCAACUUUAGAUUAAAUUAACUUCACAGAGAAGAACUUUUCUCAUGCUUGCCAUGCCCAUGAAGCCUGCCCUGUUCGUGAAGCCUGGCAUGUCCACAAUGCCACCCCAUCUUAUCUGGGGCUUCUAGAUGCUACUUUAGUAUAAAUAAGAAGCAAUUAUACAUAGAAACAUAGAAACCCAAGUUUAAUUGUUGGCAAGUGAACAGAAAUAAAUGACAGAGAAAGAAAAAAUUGGCAAUGUGUUCAUUUUUUUUCUGUCUUCAAACCACAAAAAUUGCCUUUUAAAUAGGCUUAAUGAAUCCAAGCAGCCGCACAAUACAGCAUUUCUCAAAAUAUUUACUACAUAUUUAGGAGUGGAGAUCAUACUGGGAUGAGCUACGUCUGUCUCUCUCAGGGAUUUCAAAUCCUUCUUGCUGUGAUCUGUCUUGACAGUUCAGUCAGACUUUGGGGAUAGUCUGAUCUAUAUGGUUAGCAUAGAAAAUUGUCAGCCUGGAGGAUAUCACUCAUAGAAGGGAUGAUAUUUGAUGCCUUAAUAAACAGUCUGGUGACUGUGAAAAGGCAUAUAAACAGCAGAGAAGUUUUCAGUGUAAAUAUAGGCACAGAAAAUAAUGCAGUUCUUGGAGACUUUUGGAUGAAUCAUGAGCAUGUGCUUGUGUGUAGACAGUAAAUCAAGUGGAAAUUAAUUAUGUAUAAUGCAUCACUGCAUAAAGAGAAUGACUUGAAGGUAGAAAAUUCAAGUAUGAUUGUUAAUCUUUUGCUAUUUGGGAAACUGUAGUCUUGCUGUAGGAGCAGUUGAGAGGUGCCUCUAAGAGGCACAGUACUUUGCUUUCUUUCAUUUGACAUGAGUAUGUAGGGUGAAGACAGACAGCGUUCCAUACUUUAUGGGCAUGCCUGAUGCAUGCCCUUCUGCUGGUUAUCACACUGCUUUUUAGGGGCAUUUUAAAGGGGUGUGAGAACUGACACUGGGUUUCCCUUAUGAAGUAAGAAGCUUAGGGGAGGGUGCUAAUUUUCUUCUCUCUUGUUGGGAGUCACCAAAAUCAGCCCUGAAAUGAAGCUUUUGCUUCUACUGCUGUUUAGCAUAGAUUAUCUCCUUUAGGAAAUAGUACUGUGUGUGGUUUUGGACAAUGUACUUUACUUACCCAUAUUGCACCUUUCUCUUUACAACAGUUAUUUAAUUGAAGCCUCUCACUCUCCUGUCUGAUAGGCAUUACUUCCUUAACACACACAGGGACACAGAGGUGCACAAUUGCAAAGUGACUUGUCUAGCGUCACAUCCCAAAUGUGGCAUUAGGAAGAAAAAAAAAAAUCAAACAGAUGCCCUGACUGCAGAUUCUGGGCUGUUGUCCCUGAACAGGGAUACCUUUCCUUGAUGCAUUUCUGCAGAAGAAAUGUGCAGUCUUUAGAGGUAGCAACUCUAAUAAUGUGUCAUGCAUCGUUCUCUUAGAAGCUAUAGAAUUAAUUGCUAUGUUACUCCUGCAUUACACAAUGAUGAUACUGAAGUAGCUCUGAAAUGCAUUUAGUUAAUAUGACAGAUAACCGUAGUGUUUAUAUACACAUGGCCACAUACCAAAGCAGCCUAGAAUAGGCAGUUGAAAAUGUGAAGUUUUAGUUUCUGCUGUCAUACAGCUCCCCACACCUGCACAUGCAUUUUCCUCUGCCAUGUGAAAAGACAAGUGAUGUAAUUUAAUUUGAAAAACAAAACAUUGUGAAGAUGACAUGACAUCUGCCUGAAAUCAGGAAAGCCAACCAUUGGGAUGAGUAUAUUAGCAUAUUUGCAGCCUUUUUUUCUCCAUUGGUAGCCUACCUGGAGACUGUCUAUAUUCCAUUUGAUAGAAUCUUCACCAAGCUUAUAGGGUCACUUCAAAGCACCUGACAAAUCAAAUCAGAUACUUGAGAUUAUGUUUUAUGUGGCCUAAAAAUGCCUAAUCAGUGCAACAGGCCCGAGCAUCAGCUUUCUUUCUACUACCCACUUUUCUGCAGAAGAGUAACUUCUUAUCCUCAUUUUUGCUGAGUACAGCUUAGUACACAUAGUCAAAAAGACUGACUCAGUAUUGAUUCAGUCUUUGCAAGUUAGUCUAAAAUGCAGAGAUUAAAAUGAAAUAGAAGUGAACAGACUGUGAAAAGGGACUGGCUAUAAAUGAGGUCCAGAGAACAGAAAAAGAGAUCAUGCUGGGAGAAUGCCAAUUUUGGAGUAGCUGUUCCUUUAAGAUAGAGAGACCCAGAGGGGCACAGCACGGAGAGAGAACGGAGCAAGGGUUCAGAGGAAGAGAAACUGUGGAGGAAGAUCGAGACAGGGAAAUCCCGGGAGCCGGUUCUGCGUGAGAGAGAGGGCAUAGCCAGAAGACAGAAUCCCUAAAGAAAUAAAUUGACUCUUGAAUCACUCGGAAGAGUGGAGUAAUGAAAGCAGAGACCUCAAGAAAGAAGGCACUGCGGGUACUCAUCAGUUUUCACAAAAGUUCAUUCUUAUCCUGUUCCAUUUUCUUGUUUUUGUUUGAAUUUAAUUAGGACUGAUUGUGCUGGGUGAGAGGAAGAGUCCGAGUCCCGGCUACUCUCACACCCAUACAAGAAAGAAACGGGGGAUAAUAUCUUCCCAUGAAACGAAAAAGGGGAAGAAAGAAAGAGACUGAAAGCAGUACCCCUGGUCAAGUAAAAAAA